CAGUAGCCGCGGGAACACGUAGGUGGCAAGCGUUGUCCGGAAUUAUUGGGCGUAAAGCGCGCGCAGGCGGAUCAGUCAGUCUGUCUUAAAAGUUCGGGGCUUAACCCCGUGAUGGGAUGGAAACUGCUGAUCUAGAGUAUCGGAGAGGAAAGUGGAAUUCCUAGUGUAGCGGUGAAAUGCGUAGAUAUUAGGAAGAACACCAGUGGCGAAGGCGACUUUCUGGACGAAAACUGACGCUGAGGCGCGAAAGCCAGGGGAGCGAACGGGAUUAGAUACCCCUGUAGUCCCUGUCUCUUAUACA
rnacentral:rRNA from 1 species